GAUGAAGAACGUAGCGAAAUGCGAUAAGUAAUGUGAAUUGCAGAAUUCAGUGAAUCAUCGAAUCUUUGAACGCAUCUUGCGCUCCUUGGUAUUCCGAGGAGCAUGCCUGUUUGAGUGUCAUUAAAUUCUCAACUCUCCUAUACUUUGUUGUAAAGGAGGGCUUGGAUUGUGGAGGCUUGCUGGCCGCUUGAUGUGGUCAGCUCCUCUGAAAUGCAUUAGCAGAACUGUUUGCGAUCUGCCACAAGUGUGAGAAAUUAUCUACACUGGCGAGGGGAUUGCUCUCUGUGUUCAGCUUCUAAUCGUCUUCAGUGACAAUUUCUUGAAUGCUUGACCUCAAAUCAGGUAGGACUACCCGCUGAACUUAAGCAUAUCAAUAAGCGGAGGA
rnacentral:misc_RNA from 1 species